rnacentral:rRNA from 1 species
UACGGGGGGAGCAAGCGUUGUUCGGAUUUACUGGGCGUAAAGGGCGCGUAGGCGGCCACCGCAAGUCGACUGUGAAAUCUCCGGGCUUAACCUGGGAACUGCAUUGGUGACUGCAUUGCUGGAGUAUGGCAGAGGGGGGUGGAAUUCCACGUGUAGCAGUGAAAUGCGUAGAGAUGUGGAGGAACACCGAUGGCGAAGGCAGCCCCCUGGGCCAAUACUGACGCUCAUGCACGAAAGCGUGGGGAGCAAACAGG